rnacentral:lncRNA from 13 species
ACACACACACACACACACACACACACACACACACACACACACACACACACACACACACCACUCUGCCAGAAGAGAAGCCACCCAGAGCGCCUUGACCACCUCAACCUCCUUCCAGCCUGCAAGCCAGAGGAUGUAGCAGCCAACUGGCCAACGGGCACCGAGACAAGCCAGCACGACAUACCAGCACAGCACAGGAACAAGGGUGAAGCCUCUCUCUGAUGGGUAUCCAGUCCACCCAGUCAUCCCAUCAGGGACGUUAGUAGGGGUCGGUGGAUCCUAGUCUUCUCUCACCCUGGACUAAAGUGACUCCAGCUUCAGAACUGAACCAUACAGCACCACCACUCACUGACUGGUAAGGAUAGUUAAUAUGCUAUUUAGCAGACACUUCUAUGCACAGCCGCACGUUUUGACUCUAGAGGCUCGAGAGCCACUCUGUUCCUUUUUUAAUUUUUAGGGAUACCUUAAGGGCUCUUAAAGUUCAAAAUCAAAUAGCUAAAUGAUCCUUGGUACGAUCCUUGAUAUGACCAUUUGAAAACAAUUCCAUAAAGCUUAGUAGAAUCCCCCUCCCCCAGCUUAGACAGGGCUUAGAGGGUUAAUGCUGUGACCCACCUUACACUAACAGUACAUUAUAACUAAUGAUGUGACCCACCUUACACUAACAGUACAUUAUAACUAAUGAUGUGACCCACCUUACACUAACAGUACAUUAUAACUAAUGAUGUGACCCACCUUACACUAACAGUACAUUAUAACUAAUGAUGUGACCCACCUUACACUAACAGUACAUUAUAACUAAUGAUGUGACCCACCUUACACUAACAGUACAUUAUAACUAAUGAUGUGACCCACCUUACACUAACAGUACAUUANNNNNNNNNNGGGAGCUGCAACGCAAAUGAACUGGGGCUAAUGAUCCAUCUGUAGAAGGGGGAGAAGGGGAGAAAGGACGGAGGGAUGGAGGGAGGAGAGAAGGAG